rnacentral:rRNA from 1 species
UACGUAGGAUCCGAGCGUUAUCCGGAUUUACUGGGCGUAAAGAGUUGCGUAGGUGGCAGAGUAAGUGAACAGUGAAAGCGUGCGGCUCAACCGCAUAUCCAUUGUUUAAACUGCUCAGCUUGAAGAUGAGAGAGGUCACUGGAAUUCCAAGUGUAGGAGUGAAAUCCGUAGAUAUUUGGAGGAACACCGAUGGCGUAGGCAGGUGACUGGCUCAUUCUUGACACUAAGGCACGAAAGCGUGGGGAGCAAACGGG